rnacentral:lncRNA from 1 species
GCGGUCCGGCAAGCUAGAGAGAGAUUGAAAUUUGAGAUAAGUUAGAGAAAGAGAGAGCUCUGAGCCUGUGACUCUCGGAGGCUGGGAAUGGAAGUGUGGAAAUGGGAGAGAGAGAAAGAAAGUGUGGAACUGAGAGAGAGAGAGAGAGAGAGAGAGAGUGAGUGAGUGGUUAAUUAGUGUGGAUUGACAGAUUGUGGUGUCAUGGUGUGGGAGGAGGCGCCGAGGUGACUGGCGAGCGUCGGGCAAGCGGGCGGGCGGCGCCUGGGGGUGGGU